rnacentral:rRNA from 1 species
GAUGAACGCUGGCGGCGUGCCUAAUACAUGCAAGUCGAGCGAACAGACGAGGAGCUUGCUCCUCUGACGUUAGCGGCGGACGGGUGAGUAACACGUGGAUAACCUACCUAUAAGACUGGGAUAACUUCGGGAAACCGGAGCUAAUACCGGAUAAUAUAUUGAACCGCAUGGUUCAAUAGUGAAAGACGGUUUUGCUGUCACUUAUAGAUGGAUCCGCGCCGCAUUAGCUAGUUGGUAAGGUAACGGCUUACCAAGGCGACGAUGCGUAGCCGACCUGAGAGGGUGAUCGGCCAAACUGGAACUGAGACAAGGUCCAGACUCCUACGGGAGGCAGCAGUAGGGAAUCUUCCGCAAUGGGCGAAAGCCUGACGGAGCAACGCCGCGUGAGUGAUGAAGGUCUUCGGAUCGUAAAACUCUGUUAUUAGGGAAGAACAAAUGUGUAAGUAACUAUGCACGUCUUGACGGUACCUAAUCAGAAAGCCACGGCUAACUACGUG